rnacentral:rRNA from 1 species
GCCUUUCACAAGGGAUAGCCUCGGGAAACUGGGAUUAAUACCAUAUGAUACUUUUACUUCGCAUGAAGCAAAAGUUAAAGCGUAAAGCGGUGAAAGAUGGCCUCGCGUCCCAUUAGUUAGUUGGUGAGGUAACGGCUCACCAAGACCGCGAUGGGUAGCCGGCCUGAGAGGGUGAACGGCCACACUGGAACUGAGACACGGUCCAGACUCCUACGGGAGGCAGCAGUGGGGAAUAUUGCACAAUGGAGGAAACUCUGAUGCAGCGACGCCGCGUGAACGAUGAAGGCCUUCGGGU